AUACAUUCUUGAACCGGGCAGGAUCAUAGUUGGUAAUAGUGCUCAUAGCAGGCUCUAUCCUAAAGUUUUUAUUUAUAUAUUAUGCCGGUGCAAAUGUGAUGAAUUUGAUGACUAGAAGCAAUGGAGAUGCUUUAAGAGGUUCUGGUGUUGUGAGAUCGUUUGACAAUAUGGGUGUAAAUGCACAAUCUGGUGGCACUAUAUAUGGGAGAGAUGCCAUAUAAAAAAAACUUUUAAAAGUUUGAGGUGACUGAUUUUGAUUGGAGAGAUAAGAUGCCGGAGUGCCCGGUUAUUAUCCAGGUAAGGAACAGUUUGAGAACCCUUUGGCGUACCUGCAAAAGAUUGCCCUAAUUGCUUCAAAAUAUGGUAUAUGCAAGAUUGUUUCGCCUUUGAGUGCUUCUAUUCUCACAGACGUGGUUUUUAUAAAGAGAAAGCUGGCUUUAGGUUUAUAGCUAUAGUGCAACCUCUUCGUCUGAGUAAGUGAAUGGAUUAUUGAGGAUAAGGUUACCUUUUACCUG
rnacentral:lncRNA from 1 species